rnacentral:rRNA from 1 species
GCUGAGCGGUAGAGAUCCUUCGGGAUCUUGAGAGCGGCGUACGGGUGCGGAACACUUGUGCAACCUGCCUUUAUCAGAGGGAUAGCCUUUCGAAAGGAAGAUUAAUACCUCAUAAUAUAUUGAUUCGCAUGGAUUGAUAUUGAAAACUCCGGUGGAUAGAGAUGGGCACGCGCAAGAUUAGAUAGUUGGUGAGGUAACGGCUCACCAAGUCGAUGAUCUUUAGGGGGCCUGAGAGGGUGAUCCCCCACACUGGUACUGAGACACGGACCAGACUCCUACGGGAGGCAGCAGUGAGGAAUAUUGGACAAUGGGUUAGCGCCUGAUCCAGCCAUCCCGCGUGAAGGACGACGGCCCUAUGGGUUGUAAACUUCUUUUGUACAGGGAUAAACCUACUCUCGUGAGAGUAGCUGAAGGUACUGUACGAAUAAGCACCGGCUAACUCCGUGCCAGCAGCCGCGGUAAUACGGAGGGUGCAAGCGUUAUCCGGAUUUAUUGGGUUUAAAGGGUCCGUAGGCGGAUCUGUAAGUCAGUGGUGAAAUCUCACAGCUUAACUGUGAAACUGCCAUUGAUACUGCAGGUCUUGAGUAAGGUAGAAGUGGCUGGAAUAAGUAGUGUAGCGGUGAAAUGCAUAGAUAUUACUUAGAACACCAAUUGCGAAGGCAGGUCACUAUGUCUAAACUGACGCUGAUGGACGAAAGCGUGGGGAGCGAACAGGAUUAGAUACCCUGGUAGUCCACGCCGUAAACGAUGCUAACUCGUUUUUGGGUUUUCGGAUUCAGAGACUAAGCGAAAGUGAUAAGUUAGCCACCUGGGGAGUACGUUCGCAAGAAUGAUACUCAAAGGAAUUGACGGGGGCCCGCACAAGCGGUGGAUUAUGUGGUUUAAUUCGAUGAUACGCGAGGAACCUUACCAAGGCUUAAAUGGGAAUUGACAGUUUCAGAAAUGAGAUUUUCUUCGGACAAUUUUCAAGGUGCUGCAUGGUUGUCGUCAGCUCGUGCCGUGAGGUGUUAGGUUAAGUCCUGCAACGAGCGCAACCCCUGUCACUAGUUGCCAUCAUUAAGUUGGGGACUCUAGUGAGACUGCCUACGCAAGUAGAGAGGAAGGUGGGGAUGACGUCAAAUCAUCACGGCCCUUACGCCUUGGGCCACACACGUAAUACAAUGGCAGGUACAGAGGGCAGCUACUAUGCGAAUAGAUGCGUAUCUCGAAAGCCUGUCUCAGUUCGGAUUGGAGUCUGCAACUCGACUCUAUGAAGCUGGAAUCGCUAGUAAUCGCGCAUCAGCCAUGGCGCGGUGAAUACGUUCCCGGGCCUUGUACACGCCGCCCGUCAAGCCAUGGAAGUUUGGGGUACCUGAAGUCGGUGACCGUAACAGGAG